UACGUAGGGAGCAAGCGUUGUCCGGAAUCAUUGGGCGUAAAGCGCGCGUAGGCGGCCCUGUAAGUCCGCUGUGAAAGUCAAAGGCUCAACCUUUGAAUGCCGGUGGAUACUGCAGGGCUAGAGUCCGGAAGAGGCGAGUGGAAUUCCUGGUGUAGCGGUGGAAUGCGCAGAUAUCAGGAGGAACACCAAUAGCGAAGGCAGCUCGCUGGGACGGUACUGACGCUAAGGCGCGAAAGCGUGGGGAGCGAACAGG
rnacentral:rRNA from 1 species